AAAUCAUUCUUUCACUCCACGUUGCGAGAACUUCACACACGUCGCUCCAGUUUGCCACGUCGCUGAUGUUCCCCCGCACAAGAUGACCACGUCGCUCAACUUCCCCACAAGCACUUCGCAGAUUUUCAUUCUCUUCUGCCUAAAAGAAAGAGAACUAAGUUCAGCCCCCGCCUAUACAGAGAGAAAUUCUUCUUCAGGAAAUGACCGACGACGUUGAAGCAUAUCUUGAAGGAAUUGAAGGAUCUGCAUCUUUAUCCACAAAAAUAAUGCAGUGCAGUGCAACAUCGUGUUUUCAAAGUACUGAUCAAUAUCUCAGUCCGAGAGGAGUUCAUCAUUAUUGCAGCUUUGAUUAUUAUUCUUAGCCAUAUGAGUACCCCCCACCUCAGGCGUACCCGCCGCCGCCUCAGCCCCACCUUCCGAAGCAUACUUCUUCUGCAUCGAUGCAUCGAGGCCAGGGCCGAGGUUAGAUAGGAGGUAUUCGCAGAUUCCCAAUAACUACUGAUCCCUAAAACAAGUAUAUCCUCUGAUUGCUCAUAGGUAUAGUUUUUGUUGUAUUUAUAAAGAUAUCAUCAAAUUUUAUACUAACUUUGCACUUAAUUCAUGAUAAAUCAUGUUAAUUAUAGUUUU